GUUUGAUCUGUUGUUUAAUUUUUGAUGUGGGCAUCCAGCUGAUCGCUCCCGCCGCCCGAUCGAUCCGCCGAGAACUCACCAGCAACGAUGGCCGGGAAGCCACAACACUCAGCUUUCGCGCCAGCCUGCUCCAUCCGGCACUCUCUCCUCGCCGUCGCUGUCCCAGCCCUGAUCUGUUUCGCCCUCCUCUCCCUCAGAUCGCUCCGCUCCCCUCCCCAAUUUUCCUCCCCUAAGAUGGCCGUGGCCGAAGUUUCCCGCGAUUUGGCGAGCCCGGGAUUGUCUUCUUCCUCGAUCUACCACUCCCCGGAGGUCUUCUUCAAAAGCUACGCCGAGAUGGAGGGAAAAUUUAAGGUGUUCAUUUACCCAGAUGGGGAUCCGAAUACGUACUUCCUGACGCCGAGGAAACUGACCGGCAAGUACGCCAGCGAGGGCUACUUCUUUCAGAACAUCAGGGAAAGCCGGUUCCGUACGGAGGAUCCGGAUCAGGCAGACUUGUUCUUCGUACCCAUAUCGUGCCAUAAGAUGAGGGGAAAGGGAACAUCCUAUGAAAAUAUGACCAUGAUAGUACAAAAUUAUGUUGAAAGCUUGAUUGGUAAAUAUCCAUAUUGGAAUAGAACCUUGGGUGCAGAUCACUUUUUUGUAACUUGUCAUGAUGUUGGUGUGAGGGCAUUCGAAGGACUUCAAAUGGUUAUAAAAAAUUCAAUUCGGGUUGUUUGUUCACCAAGCUAUGAUGUUGGAUACAUUCCGCACAAGGAUGUUGCUCUUCCUCAAGUACUGCAGCCAUUUGCUCUGCCAUCAGGAGGAAAUGAUAUUGAGAACAGGACCAUACUUGGAUUUUGGGCAGGUCAUAGAAACUCAAAGAUAAGAGUAAUAUUAGCUCGUGUUUGGGAGAAUGACACAGAACUUGCCAUCAGCAAUAAUCGCAUAAGCAGAGCUAUCGGAGAGUUAGUCUAUCAGAAGCGGUUCUACAGGACAAAGUUCUGCAUAUGUCCAGGUGGUUCUCAAGUGAACAGUGCUCGCAUAGCAGACUCCAUUCACUAUGGAUGUAUUCCAGUAAUUUUGUCCAAUUACUAUGACCUGCCGUUUAAUGACAUCCUUGACUGGCAGAAGUUCUCUGUUAUACUCAAGGAGAGUGAUAUCUAUCAACUAAAGUCUAUUCUGAAGUCUAUACCUCAUGAAAAGUUCAUUGAGUUGCAUAAGCACUUAGUUGAGCAUCUUUAAUCUUCAACAUAGUUUGACAGUGAUUUCAUGAAAUUGGCAUGUGGACAUACUCCAUCAAAUGGAGCAAAGACAAAGUUAUUGUUCAGAAGCACUUUGAAUGGCACUCACCUCCAGUACCUUAUGAUGCAUUCCACAUGGUAAUGUAUGAGCUUUGGCUCCGACACUAUGUCAUCAAGUACUGAGUGAGACCAACUUCAUGGACCAUAUAUUUGAUUUCACUUAUGACCAAACUGUGAAAUGAUCCAAAAGAUGCCCCGAACUCUGGUUUAUAUAGCUACGGAAGGUCUGCGAGAGCAUAUUCAGUUUUUGCUCAUCCAUCCCAUGCAAGUGGAUUAACCAAUAUUCAAUCAUAUGGAAGUCUGAACCGAGAAGGCGGCAAUUCUACAGGUUCAGAACUUGCUUCUUGAGCACCUUUUGUGUUCAGUUAAACAUUGAUAAUUUGGCUCGAGUGACAGAUGAGUGUGGCAGAAAGUAGGAAGAAAUCUGAACUCAGAGGUAGGUAGCUCCUUUCUUUUGCUGGUGCUGCCUGGCAGCUGAUCGGGUAAUUUAGAGGGCACUCUCUAUGUUUUCCUCAGUAUUUUUGUUUUGUUAUGGCUCUUCCCCGAUAAUGUGAGGUCCACUUUUUGUCUCUUCAUUAUAUUUGCAUAGAUUAUAUUAGUCUUGGGUUGUGCGAUGUAAUCCCAUCUGUUUUUGUACUAGCCUUUAAACCGAUGGGAGAUGACAAAACUAUCACUGGUGGAAAUAGGUUUUCUUAUUUAUUCCAUUAAAUCUUGUAUUACCCUUUUUGCCUUUUUGGCUGGAUACAGGAUGUCCUUUUUCUGCUUUAAGCAGGAGGCUUUAAAAUUGCUUCAGGGGGCAACACUGAUCCGCUACUACGAUGUAUGGUUGAUCACAUUGUUUCAAGCAGCUUGGCCACAGUCAACAAAGAAUUUGUGUGAGAGCUUUCUACCGCAACCUUUUCUGCUGAGAGCAUUUAAGCACAGAACAUAGAACAUUCAGAUGGUGAUGUUGAAGCCUCUGAAGCAAAAUACUGUGAUAGAUAUGAUAUAAAGUACGUACAGUUUGAACUAACUGGACUUGAGCCAUAUUUGUUGCAUAAUUAAUGAACAAUUUAACCUAUGCUUGUAUCA